rnacentral:rRNA from 1 species
UACGUAGGUGGCAAGCGUUAUCCGGAAUUACUGGGCGUAAAGCGCACGCAGGCGGUCUCUUAAGUUUGACGUGAAAGCUCCCGGCUUAACUGGGAGAGGUCGUUGAAUACUGGGAGGCUUGAGGCAAUGAGAGGGGUGUAGAAUUCCCGGUGUAGUGGUGGAAUGCGUAGAUAUCGGGGGGAAUACCAGUGGCGAAAGCGGCACCCUAGCAUUAGCCUGACGCUCAUGUGCGAAAGCGUGGGGAGCGAACGGG